UACGUAGGGUCCGAGCGUUGUCCGGAAUUAUUGGGCGUAAAGAGCUCGUAGGCGGCUUAGAAAGUCAGGUGUGAAAACUCUGGGCUCAACCCAGAGACGCCACUUGAUACUUCUAUGGCUUGAGUUCGGUAGGGGACCAUGGAAUUCCUGGUGUAGCGGUGAAAUGCGCAGAUAUCAGGAGGAACACCGGUGGCGAAGGCGAUCUUCUGGUCUGUUUCUGACACUCAGACGCGACAGCUAGGGUAGUAAACGGG
rnacentral:rRNA from 1 species